GUGCCAGCCGCCGCGGUAAUACGGAGGGUGCAAGCGUUAUCCGGAUUCACUGGGUUUAAAGGGUGUGUAGGCGGGCAGUUAAGUCAGUGGUGAAAUCUCCGGGCUCAACCCGGAAACUGCCAUUGAUACUAUCUGUCUUGAAUUUUGUUGAGGUAGGCGGAAUAUGUCAUGUAGCGGUGAAAUGCAUAGAUAUGACAUAGAACACCAAUUGCGAAGGCAGCUUACUAAGCAAACAUUGACGCUGAGGCACGAAAGCGUGGGGAUCAAACAGGAUUAGAAACCCUCGUAGUCC
rnacentral:rRNA from 1 species